AUUCUGAGCUCUUAAGCAUGCCAGGAGCAGAUGCCUGAUUUUACUGUGUGGCACUUUGUGGCCCAGAAACUUUCCAGAUUCUGUAUUUUCCUAUCUGGUUAAAUGUAACUGUAUUUACCUGUGUUUCAAAGCCUGAAUGCUUUAUUUAUUCUCUACUUAAUUUUCUUUUCCAGUUUUUCCUAACAAGCUUCCCUAGAUUUACUUGUUCUCACUUCCUAGACGCUAUUUGUAUUCUUCCUUCUUCUCUAGUUCAUUGGAAAUUUCUGCUUCUUUGAGACUGAGGUUAUAUUCCACUUCUUCUGACUACACCACCACCAUCAAUCUCCUUCUCUGAACUCUUGGAUCAUUACUUCAACCUGAAACAACUCAUCAGGCAGAAUAGUUGCCUACUGCCCCAACCCCACCAAAUGUUCCAGCACCUCUGAUAUUACCUCACAUGGCAAGAGGGCUUUGAAGAUGUGAUUGAGUCAAGGAUCUUGAAUGGGGAGAUUAUCCUGAAUUAUUCAGCUGGACCCAGUGUAAUCACAAAGGUUUUUCAAAGAUGGAAGAGAGGCAGAAGAGCCAGAAAAGGAUAUGUGACAAUGGAGUCAGUGUCAGAGUUGGAGUGACGUGAUGUGAGAAGGAUUCAACCUGCUGUUUCUGGCUUUGAGGAUGAAAGAAGGGGCCAUGAGCCAAGCAAUACAGGUGGCUUCUUUCAAGAAGUUGGAAAAGGUAGAGGAGAACGUCGCAGAGAAAAAGGGAAGGAAAAUACACCUUUGGAUUGUUGGCAUGCAUUUGCACACAGAGGAAAGACCAAAAAAGGAUAAAACACACCAAAGUUUGUUCAAUCCAGCCAGUCCCCAGCAAAGCCCUAAAAUAAUGAAUUUAUUUUCUGGGUAUUGGUUCCAGGUUCACCUGUGCAUACUAAAACCCAGGCAUACUCAAAUCCCAGAGUUGACUCUGAAGCAUCUGAGGAUAGGAAAAGUCAGCUCUCCUUAUACAGGAAACAUUGCAGCGUUAUAAGAGAAAUUAUAGACUAUUUGUUGAAGCUCAGCAUGUCCAUCUCCCUGCUUUGAAGAAGGAUGUUGGGAACUGACUGUAAGGAAGACAGGAUUGGAGAACCAGGUUUAGAAGAGAAAAGGCAGUGCCAGAAGUUUUUGAUUGGAGAAAACUACAGGGUAAUGUUGCACAAGAACCAUUGCUGGUAAGAAUGAACUCUCUUUCUUUCCUCUUUCCAUUGUCAUCCUUAUCAAGACUUAAUGUUCUGAGAGAACAUGGCCAAAUUCAGGCCAGGAGUUUGUUCCUUAGUUGUGCUAGUAUCGUGGGUGGGAGGACUUGAAAGAAAAAGUCUGAAAGGAUUUUCUUAGCUUCAAGUAAACACCAAAGCAGUUGAGGAACUCUGAAGAAAUGUCUGGAUAUUGCGUAGUUUGAACAAAUGAUAAGUAUCAGCAGUUACACUUACUUGUUCACA
rnacentral:lncRNA from 1 species